UGAUACAUGUGCUAGUCUAAUAUUCAUAUGUAUCCUCAUAUGAACUCCAACCAGGGACAACUUUAGAAUAACCAUACAAGUAAAGAGUUUCACAUACAAUUCACAUAAUUGCAAAUCAAUUCAAGUAGCCUUUAAAGAAUAUUCAAGGAACACAAUAUAAAUCAUGAGUACAAAUGGAAUAUCAUCAUCUCUAUGAUUGCCUAUAGGGCAUACCUCCAACAGUCUCCC
rnacentral:lncRNA from 1 species